CCUGAACAAAGGAACAAGAGCUCCGAUAUACUUUAAUCCUCUUCCCUGGAGGCCUCACAUCAACACUGUCCACAGUCUAGUUCCUAUUACAGCUGGAAUGGAGCAGAUGGCCGGUGGUUUUACACUUAUCUUACUUGAUCGUCACACAAGGGCAGAUGGGGCUGGUAGGGCAGAAAAUGACCCCAAUUUGACUCAAAGAAAUUGAGACUCAAGGGGUACAGUGGCCUGCGAGGUUACAAGCCAGUAUUUCUUCCAGACCUCACGGGGAAAGGCACCUGUAACAUUCGCCUCUCCUGGAGGCCGCUUCUUGGUCAUCACUGACGUCCCUGACCGCUGUGCCUGGCUUGCUGUCUUCCUAUCACCGCUCACCACCCCCUUUGCUGGCUCUUCCCUCCUUCCUACUUUAAACUUGAUGGCUGUUUCUCCACUUGAGCCUUGGCCUUCUCCCUGCCCAAUCCUCCGUGCUGAUCCAGCCCACGUUUCAAAUUCCCCUUCCACGCAGCAGCCUCCCAAAUCUGUCAGCAGGCUGACCCGUCGCCUGAGUCACAGUCCAAUUAUUUCAAGCAUCUCAUAUGAGGUGGCCCCGAACACCUGAAACCCGAGCCGACCCCUCUGGUGUCUCCUCCUCCUCCCAUCAACUUUUCUUCCUGUCUUCCUGGCUCUUUGCAUUCCCAGCAGCCUGUGGAUCUCAUACCGAAUACCCGCCCCCAGCUCUCCUGCAGCCAAUCAGCUAUCGCACUUGGUCCAGGUGAGAGUGGCAACGUUUCUCACACCUACUUCCUUUCUGUUCCCUGCACUGGGUCCCAUCCCCUCCAUGUACAAUAGCUGCCUGGCAGGUCUCUUCCUUCUAGCAACUCCCUGCUCCUGCAGUCCCUCCGUGACCUUCCUGAUGGGGAGAUCCUCAAGACUUUUCCCAUGAGCUCGGGGUUCCUGAGGCCCAGAAGAAGUGCGAAGAUGGUCUUCAGCUCAAACUUCCCCAAUUUAUUCCAACUUCUAAAGCAGUAGUCUAAGGCACUAGGACAAGAAGCAGAUGAACAUGUAUAGCCAGUAUUGGGCCACCAUGCCCGUCCCACCUAGACUCAUACCUUGUCUCAUCCACUCGACCUCGUCCUCGGUGACAAAGCUGCACAAGGCUUUUGCCAUUGCCAGUCGUAUUGCUCCAGCCUGCGCUGACCUCCCGCCCCCUGAGACUGUGCAGGUCACGUCGUGCUUUCCCAGCCGGUCAACAAAGUGGAAAGGGAACAUCAGCUGUUCUCUAAAGCACAGCACAAGUAAAUGUGGUUACGUUUACUAUAAAGAUACAUAAUUAUGUAAACAACUGAAAUUCUGAAUAUUCAUAAAAACAAUAUUCUGCAUGCCACUGUUAUACUUUUCAUACUUCUCAAUCAAUCCAUUUUACCAAGAUAUAGAAACACUAACAUUUCUGACAUUUUGAAUGAUUUGCUGAGAGAUUAAGAUUUAUUUCUUUUGCUUGGGUAUAGCAACACACUCUUACUGUUUGCUGAUCCCCUUUAUCUCAGAAGAUCUUUUCAAAGCUUGAAAAUAAUCUCGUAAAGAAGUCUUACAGUUGGGGAACUCCAUUAAUCAACUGAAUUUAAUGUCUCUGGAUUGAAUGAUCAGAUAUAAAAUCAAUAGGCCUUUCCAAACAAUUAUCACAUGUCAUUUGGAUUCACUAAAUAAAGUCUACUAUAAGUGUAUCUGUAUAAUGUAUAAUGCUCAUCUUGAUAUGGUUAGUUUUUAAAGUUUCUAAAACUAUUUUCGACCUUGCACUUCCCUGACACCAAACACCUAUUCCCAAUAUUCUUAAAGUUCUCUAAAUCAUAGGGUCCUGCUACCUUCCUGGGGCCAGGUGACAUUCUACACAACCCCUGUCAGGCCUGCUCUUUCAGGGUCGGUCAGGGCCUACAAGAUCCUGGGGCAGGCACCACAGACAAAACACGGCCCUGGACUUUCUCCUGCUCAACUGAACAAGUAUUUGUUGAAUAUCAUUUUCACGCCAGGUAAGAUGUUCACCAUUACCUCUGUCAAGCACUUUGAUUUUGCUAUUUUGCCUUAAUAUCUUGCUACACUUUUAUGCAGAAAAGCUCACUUAUAUUGCGUUUGCUUUCUUUGAUGCUGUAGCUUCUAGACCCAAAAUCAAGUUUAUAUAACACAGUUAAGCUGAGAGACAGGUAUGGACAGGACAUUCAAGUGCUAUUCUUCAUACCACACUAGUAAAAUAAUCACAAGCAGAUGGGCAAAAGAUGACUUUCAAAAGCCAUAGCAAAUCGGAAUUUAUAACAAUACGAUGUAGGGAUGACAUAACUCCUACAACAACAAAAAACUCAUAAAUCUAUACUGUCUUUUUGAACAAAUGCUUCCAAGAAACCAAAUGAAAAGUAGCCAUAAGUUAUAAAAACAGUAUUAUAAGUAGUAUCUAUUAAUAUACUAUGAUAACUAAAGAAAAUUUAAGCUGAGCACCUAAAGUACAAGCUACUCAGGAGGCUGAGGUGGGAGGACUGCUUGAGCCCAGCAGCUUGAGUCCAGUCUGGGUCCAGAAGUUUGAGUCCAGCCUGGGUGACAUAAAGAGACCUUGUCUCUUAAAAAAAAAAAGUAAAUAUAAAAGAAAAUUUA
rnacentral:lncRNA from 1 species